rnacentral:snRNA from 1 species
GCUUACCUUGGCAGCACAUAUACAAAAACUGGAACAAUGCAGAGAUCAGCACAGCCCCCACACAAGGACGACUUGUGAAGGCUUCCAUAUUU